AAGUAGGGGAGAUUGGAAUUCCUGGUGAAGCGGGGGAAUGCGUAUAUAUCGCGAGGAACACCAGUGGCUAAAGCGGAUCUCUGGACCUUUCCUGACGCUGACAACCGAAAGCGUGGGGAGCAAACAGGCUUAGAUACCCUGGUAGUUCACGCCGUAUACGGUGGGUACUAUGUGUGGGGUUCAUUCCACGAACUCCGUGCCACAACUAAAGCAUUAAGCUCCCCACCUGGAUACUACCGCCCCUAGGCUAAAACCC
rnacentral:rRNA from 1 species